rnacentral:rRNA from 1 species
UCGAGGAUCUUCGUCAAUGGGCGCAAGCCUGAACGAGCGACGCCGCGUGCGCGAUGAAGGCCUUCGGGUUGUAAAGCGCGAAAGAGGGGAGAAAGCCGAAAGGUUGAUCGAUCCUCAGUAAGGACGGGCUAAGUUCGUGCCAGCAGCCGCGGUAAGACGAACUGUCCUAACGUUGUUCGGAAUCACUGGGCUUAAAGGGCGCGUAGGCGGUCCGACAAGUCAGGGGUGAAAUCCUGCAGCUUAACUGCAGAAGUGCCUUUGAUACUGUCGGUCUUGAGGGAGAUAGGGGUGUGCGGAACUUCCAGUGGAGCGGUGAAAUGCGUUGAUAUUGGAAGGAACGCCGGAGGCGAAAGCGGCGCACUGGAUCUCUUCUGACGCUGAGGCGCGAAAGCUAGGGGAGCAAACGG